rnacentral:rRNA from 1 species
UACGGAGGGUGCAAGCGUUAAUCGGAAUUACUGGGCGUAAAGCGUGCGCAGGCGGUUCGGAAAGAAAGGUGUGAAAUCCCAGGGCUUAACCUUGGAACUGCACUUUUAACUACCGGGCUAGAGUACGUCAGAGGGGGGUAGAAUUCCACGUGUAGCAGUGAAAUGCGUAGAGAUGUGGAGGAAUACCGAUGGCGAAGGCAGCCCCCUGGGAUGAUACUGACGCUCAUGCACGAAAGCGUGGGGAGCAAACAGG